UGAGUAACCUGCCCUUGGCUUUGGGAUAACCCUCGGAAACGGGGGCUAAUAUCGAAUGUUCACUGCUGGACGCAUGUUUGGUGGUGGAAAGUUUUUCGGCUGGGGAUGGGCUCGCGGCCUAUCAGCUUGUUGGUGGGGUGAUGGCCUACCAAGGCGACGACGGGUAGCCGGCCUGAGAGGGCGACCGGCCACACUGGGACUGAGACACGGCCCAGACUCCUACGGGAGGCA
rnacentral:rRNA from 1 species